CCUACGGGAGGCAGCAGUGAGGAAUAUUGGUCAAUGGGCGAGAGCCUGAACCAGCCAAGUCGCGUGAGGGAGUACUGCCCUAUGGGUUGUAAACCUCUUUUGUCGGGGAGCAAAAGCCGGACGUGUCCGGCUGUGAGAGUACCCGAAGAAAAAGCAUCGGCAAACUCCGUGCCAGCAGCCGCGGUAAUUCGGAGGAUGCUAGCGUUAUCCGGAUUUAUGGGGUGUAAGGGGUGCGCAGGCGGAUUUUUAAGUCAGCGGUCAAAUCGUGGGGCUCAACCCCAUCCAGCCGUUGAAACUGGGGAUCUAGAGUGUGCGAGAGGUAUGCGGAAUGCGUGGUGUAGCGGUGAAAUGCAUAGAUAUCACGCAGAACCCCGAUUGCGAAGGCAGCAUACCGGUGCACAACUGACGCUCAGGCACGAAAGCGUGGGUAUCGAACAGGAUUAGAUACCCCAGUAGUC
rnacentral:rRNA from 1 species